GAGCUCGGAAUGCUCAAUGAACGUGUAGUGAGAGCAGUCCUGCUAGCACCAUAACAACACUUCCGCACCUCCUGGCCGGUAUCGGUUAGGUUCUGGUGCAAUUUUUGGACACAAUCACACACUAAUGUACUAAAACACAUAAACGGUCCGCGACACAACCAGGAACACUGACCCCUUGUGGUUGGUAGAAACACCAUGCAGUGUUUUAGUGAGUUUAACAGUACCUGACAGUCGGAAGGGUGUGUUGACGCGCAGUGUCUCAGGGGAGUCGACGGCAGCUAUGGACGGCACAAGCUCAGCUUUUCUCUGAGAGGAAGUGAUGUCAGAAAGAACGCGCCACAGCCAGCUUCAUAAUAAAGCGGUUUCAUAACACGGAGAUAUCCACUGGAAAUAUGAAGGAGAGUCAACGAGAAUUCGGGUUCCUGUUGAUGUGAUAAAAAAACGUAGCGUGUGCUUUGUAUUACCUGGCCGUCAAGGGAAGACUACAGAAAACGGCAAAUGCUUUUGGACUGGCAAAGCAGACUGUAUCAGUUAUUGUCCACCAUGUGUGUCACGGACUCCACGACUAGGUCCAGAGUAUAUAAAGUCACCAAAAAGGAAUCGACAAUGAAGGUGAAGGCAAAACAGUGAGGAGUGUCCUGACCACAUAUCUACAUCACUAGAUUGAUUGAUGUCAAAUGUUCUU